CCAAGGACCAGGCGGGCGCGGCGUCCGCCGUCUCCGAGACGGCGUACGAACUCGGCGCGGCGCUCGGCAUCGCCGUACUCGGC
rnacentral:tRNA from 1 species